rnacentral:lncRNA from 1 species
AUGCAGAUUUUUGUGAAGACCCUUACGGGGAAAACCAUCACGCUCCAGGUUGAACCCUCGGACACUAUAGAAAAUGUAAAGGCCAAGAUCCAGGAUAAGGAAGGAAUUCCUCCUGAUCAGCAGAGGCUGGUCUUUGCUGGUAAGCAGCUGGAAGAUGGCCUGACUUUGUCUAACUACAACAUUCAAAAGGAGUCCACCCUUCAUCUGGUGUUGAGACUUCGGGGU